rnacentral:rRNA from 1 species
AAGGGCAACCUGAGUAGAGCGGCGCACGGGUGCGUAACACGUGGGUAAUCUGCCUCAAAGUUUGGGAUAACCUUCCGAAAGGUUGGCUAAUACCGGAUAAGCUCACGAGGUCUUCGGACUUUGUGGGAAAAGGUGGCCUCUGUUUACAUGCCAUCACUUUGAGAUGAGCCCGCGGCCCAUCAGCUAGUUGGCGGGGUAACGGCCCACCAAGGCUACGACGGGUAGCUGGUCUGAGAGGACGAUCAGCCACACUGGAACUGAGACACGGUCCAGACUCCUACGGGAGGCAGCAGUGGGGAAUUUUGCACAAUGGGCGAAAGCCUGAUGCAGCAACGCCGCGUGUGUGAUGAAGGUCUUCGGAUCGUAAAGCACUUUCGACCGGGACGAACAACCUCUGGGUAAUUCUCAGGGGCCUGACGGUACCGGGAGAAAAAGCACCGGCUAACUCUGUGCCAGCAGCCGCGGUAAUACAGAGGGUGCAAGCGUUGUUCGGAAUUAUUGGGCGUAAAGCGCGUGUAGGCGGCUUGUUAAGUCGGGUGUGAAAGCCCUCAGCUCAACUGAGGAAGGGCGCCCGAAACUGGCGAGCUUGAGUGUCGGAGAGGAUGGCGGAAUACCCCAAGUAGAGGUGAAAUUCGUAGAUAUGGGGUGGAACACCGGUGGCGAAGGCGGCCAUCUGGACGACAACUGACGCUGAGACGCGAAAGCGUGGGUAGCAAACAGGAUUAGAUACCCUGGUAGUCCACGCCGU